UUUAUUUAUUCUUUUUUUUCAAGUGGAGGGGUCUCUUAUGAGGGGAAAAGGAAUGGGAAAAGAAGGGAGGGGAGUGGGAAGAAGGGCCUCUAGGGCAGGAGUGGCAAAACAGAAGCAAGGAGACAGGCAGGAAGGAAAGGCAGAGAAGCAGAGAGACAGAGCGUGGGGGGAUGGGAGCUGGGCAAGUCUCUUUUAAAAGGGAACAUAAUGAAAGUGCACAGGUGGCUGCAGCUGAAAGAGUAUCCUGUCAGAACCCCAAGGGCAGGCCAGUAAAGAUGCCUGAAUACUAACACACACAGGUGGCCUUCAGUACUAAGUCUUCAACCAUAUUUCUAGGUCCUUUAUCCAGGAAAUUGUAGACUUUGCCCAGGCACCUGAAAGUCUGAGGAAGGAUGAUCACUUGAGUCCAGCAAUUCAAGAAUUCCUAGGAAACAACAAAGAGACAAAAACCCUCUUAAAGUCAGCUCCUCAGAGAGUACUCAACCUUCAUCAGAGCGAGGAACAGCCAGAGCAGACAGGAUAACAACUGCCUGGCACUCCAGGAGCUGAAACACUUGGUGUCACAGGGGGCUCACACACUCAAGUCUUCUACAAGAGAAGGCUCAAGGGAGAGAAGAUCUGAAAGAAUGCCCACCAAUAUGACUCGCCACAUUCUCCCGACAAACAGAGGGAAACAAUUUCUACAUGCUCUUCGAUGCUGUCCUGAUGAAACAAUAAAGAACUAAUACCCUGGGAUGACUGUACCCUGAACACACCCAUCUAGAAUGCCUCGUCCUGCAUUCCCUACACACUGAGCAGUGAGUCUGGCCCGCCCGGGAUUAUGCUCUCCUCCAGGCCCUGGCCGUGUUUUUCUGACCAGUUUUGUUCUGUGCAUGUUGAGAACUAUCAGCCUGCAGCAUCAUUGCGCCCAGGUGUGACUGUUCAAUUUACCGGCAUUCCUAUAGGGAGGCUUUCCGUUUUCAUUUGCAAUUUGGGAAGGCUUCCUUUACAAUUCACCUUUCAGUCUCAGGAAAAAAGUACCCAGAAAGCCUUAAUUAAUUAAGCCACUCAGCUCUUUGGAGAGAUUUGCAUCUCUGACAAUGGAGCAGUGCCUGGGCGACAGGGAUAUUUGCUCAUGUUCUAAAUCAUGCUUCAAAGGAGGUUUAUCUUCAGCCAUUUGGACUCUAGGUCUCCACUGAGGGGUAUCAGAGGAUCAAGUGACUGUGAGGAUGACAAAGAAACCCCCACUCUGAGUAUCCUCCAGGCUGUCCCUACUUUAAAGCAUUAACCCCACAUUAACUGCAGCACACAGGCACAUACAAAGCAGUCUGGACAUUGUUAGUGGGCAUCUUGUGACUGCAUCUCAGUACCUCCCAGGUGACCUUUGCCGGUAUGAGAUUGGUAGUAGCAACUCCAAUUUAAGAGAUGAGAGGUCUCUGAAAGACUAUAACUUCUACCACUAAUAAAAGAUUUAAAAACAGUGUGGAUUUAGGUUUAGUUUUCCCUACUGAAGGAUAUCUCAGUGGCCAUUGCACAGAAUCCAGGCAUGGAAACAUUGUCAGGAGAUGGGGGCCUGUAAAGGACCAUAGGAGGGAACUGUGGCUUACCCGGGCAUGGUGGUAUAUACACUUGUAAACUCAACACUCGCUGGCAAAGGCAGGAAGACCAAAAGUGUGACAGGUCUCAAGUCAUUGAGUACCAUUAUUACCCUGAAGGAUCUUUUUUAUAUAGUGUGUCUAAAGUUUAAGGGGAAAAAAGAAUAGGCUAAUAAUCUUCAAAGUGGUUUUGUUUUAUUUCUUAGUUCCUAUAUGUGUGCAAGUCUUCUGACUUAAAUUGCAAGUCUCUAACAUGAAAAGUUUGACUUAGGAGACAAACUGGAAUAACAGCUCAGAAAAUUGCUUAAUUUUAAGAAAAAAUAUUAUGCAAGUUCACUAGAUAUCUGUGAAAUGAACAACUGUUUUGUGUUUUGUCAUUACUCUUAGAUUAAGGUUGAAAAGUAGUUCAGGCCUAGAGUGGCCUAUGGUACUUUGUGCCUGCAGAGAUAUAUACUGAUACUCUAGAGUUCUUCAACAUCACAUUUAUUGUCAUCUCAAUUGGAUCUUGAAAUCCACUCCAAUAGUAUUUACACCAAAGGAAUUAUACAGUAGUGCUAAAUAAGUUGUGAAUAAGAAUGAAAUUAGAAGAAAAAUAUCAAUGUUAAUUUGUUUCCUAAAAAGCAAUCUGCAAAAUACUGAUAAACCUCUCCAAUUUGGUUUUAAUACAAUAAUCUUUAACUAAGAUUAUGUUUUAAAUUUGCUUGUGUUUUAAUUUAGAUUAUGAAUUUAAGGUCAAUAAGGGACAAACAUAAAGAGAUGCAAAAAAAGGAGAAAUUAUUUGCUAGCUUUAUAUUACCAUGGAAAUAUUUGAUUUUCCCUACAAAUUACCACUAAGUAAAAAUGAUUCCAAUAAUUUAAAGUAUAACCCAUUUUCAAAUCUAAAUAAUGCAUAUGAAUAAUAAAGUCAUUAUUUUCCAAACUAAUAAGAAAAAGUCGAUUCAAUAAUCCUGGUACUAGUAAAGUACUAGAAUAAGAGUAAAUAUUCUUGUUUUAUGGGAAUGGAUAAAGUGUUAUCUGAACAAGCAUGGGUUUCUGAGAUUGGAAUCCCAGCACCCACAUAAAACCUAAACAAGGAAACUGGAGCCUAUAUGUCCAGUGCUGUAGAGGAGAAAGACACAUAGAUCCCAGGAGUUGGCUGAUCAGACUGGUCAACAUGAAAAUCUCCAAGUUCCAUAAAGUCCCUGUAUCAAAAUUAAGAUGAAGAAUUAAAGAGGAAGACAUCCAGAGCCUAGAUCUGUACAUGCCACAUACAGGUGAGCACAUGCUCACACACAUACACACACACAGAAAAUCAAACCCACAUAUACACACAAACACUAACACACAGACUAUUCCCCCAUAAGUGUUUACAUGAUCAUAUCACAAUGAAACCCAUUUAUUUGUAUAAUUGUAUAGUAUAUAAAGGUAAAAUUGUUACAAUAAAAAUAAAAUAACAUUUUAUUUUUUAAUAAUUUUUACAUUUUUUAUUUAAAUGAAAAACAUUUUCAUUGUAUAUUAGUAAAUAGAAAGUGACUAUAUGGGAUCAAUUGGAAAAUAUAAAAGAAGUACAAUAUAAAAUUUUAAAAUGCAGUGAAGGAAAAGUAGUAGUAAUUUUGUGUAUGACUCCUACCCAAGCAUCCCAAAUUGAUUUCCAAAGUUUAACCUAUUAAUAAGAAUCUCUCCAAUAUUACAUUAGUUCAUCACACCUGUUGGCUGUGGGCACACUACCACUUUCUCACAGACAACACUUCUUGGGUCUUGGCAGUAUAUACAGGAAAUAUUAGCAUUAUUUGUUGUCUCUAACUACACAUUUAGAAACUACAAAUUGAUACAAACAAUUUCUGCCUCACUUAAUGAAUCAGGCUCAUGAGGAUUAAUAAUUAUAAGUAAGGUAGCAGCGUAUGGUAUGUCCUGUACAUAAGAAAAUGUUUUAUUGUUUUAAAAAAUAAAAGAAAAUAUUUUAUAUCACAGAAAUUUUAUUCUUAGAGAGCAGUGUGUCAAAUUCUAUCACUCUGACUGGGAAAUUCAAUAAUAAAUGGAAAAAAAACCAGACAUUGAAUCCUUCAUGAAAUCAAGGCAAAUAAUAUUUGAUUUGUAAUCUCUCUAUACAAGAAUACCUAAAGAUAACUUAUCCUAAAGGAAUUUGUGUUUUUGUACAAAAUACUAAUUAAUAUUUUGCUGUAUUAAAGUGAAUUUCUUUUGUAUAGAAAUGUAAUUGCUUUCUCUGUUUCUCCAGUUAUAGUCAUUUUGAAUUUAAGGAUACCAUUAAGUAUUUGGUGUAUCCCAAUGAUCUCUUUCUUUGAAUUUAUUAAAAUACAAGUAUCUAAAAGAACCAUAACAUAUCUGGGAAUUAAAAGGCCCUAUUGCAAAAUGCAUAAAGAAUAAGUUAAAAAGAAGAGUAAUAUUCUUCAUGGUACCUGUAAGGAAAGUAGUUCACAGUCCAGUAUGCUAUAAGCAUGACAAACACAUUCUACAAUUAGGAAUGUCUUCACUUUUUUUUAUAACCAUAGCCAAAUGGCAAUUGAUUCAAGUCUAUACUGAAAUGGUGACAUGACCAAAAAUAUUAAUAAUAUUCUCUACCAUAAAACUAAAAAUGAACAAAGACUUUACAGUAGGUUUUUCUUUCAAUAUUGUGACAUUUUAAUUUAGAUACAUGUAGAAAUAAAGAUAGACAGGAACUCCAAUUAUUUCAAAGAAUAGUUUCUCAUUUAAUUUGAAAACAGUGAGAAUGGGGUCUGAAUUUUCCAUGUAAGUUUACCAUCUGUAUUUAGAAAAACAAUUUCUGCUUAUGAGGCUUGUCUAUUAUGCAUGGAUAAAUGUUGGAGGAAGUCCUUCUGUGUAUGUUUAUCUUCUUACUGGUUGUUGAAUAAAGUACUGUUGGCCAAUGAAGAAGCAAGUUGGGCAGGACUAGGAGUCAAGAAUGAUUCUGGGAAAUGUAGUAAAGGAAGUCUUGUGAUACAGGUAUGAAGUGACAUAACAGACAGACUCAUAUAUAAGCAAAAGAAGGAAGUCAUUCCUUUUUCUCUUCCUCCUGCUCUCUGCUCUGAAGCUGCUGUUUGAUCCCAGAAAGAGAAGACACCAACAGCUGGUGUACGAUAAGUGUGAUUGACUGCCACGAUAACUACCUUAGUCAAGUUGCAAAACUAAUCUGUAAAGGAAGAACAUUAAUGAAUCCCGUUGCUUGCUGGACUUCAGGAACACAUAAUGAUAAGAGCUAUUCUUCUGGGCAAUGACUGCAGUGCCAAGGAAAGAAAAGCCAUUAAUCAGAGUAUGAAUUUGCAGAAAGAACUGGAAGCUAUGCAACAUUAUUGGUAUCCUAAUUACUGAUUAUCUCCAGCAACUGCUUAACAAGAGGAGAGACUUUCAGUUUACAAGUGAUACAAGAACUCACUGGAUUUAAUAAUGCUGAAUCCGUUUCUGCAUCUCACAUAAAGUGCAAAGCAGCAGAAUUUUAAAGCAUGUAAACACAUCUGCAGCAUGAACAAUUUCAGCGUCUUCUUCAGGUGCCUUUAAAAUCAAUUCCAAACACAUUAACAUUAUGUUUUGAGCUGAUAUUAUAGUUGAGAAUAGAAGCAUGAAUAUGACUGGACUCUGAAUGUAUUAACCACUGUCAGCCUCUUUUCUUUGCAUUUUUUCAGAAUUAAAUUUUCAAUAAAGUUCUUCAAAGCUAACUCCUUUGUUCUGCUUAUGCUAGCUCCCCUACCUUUUACUUAACAUUUGAUGUAAAUUUUAUUAGUUUCAUAACUCAGGAAGUACUACAAGAAAUGACAGAUAUUAUUUCAAUCUGAGUUAGAAAUAAAAAGGGAGAGACUGUGUUUACUAAUAUUGCUACCAACUAUGAUUUGUAUAUCUAAACAGUCUAAUAUUGAGCUCCAUAAGCUCUAAUUCUUAGUGAUUUUUCUCUGCCUAUACACACAAAGGCUAGAUGCAUGAUACUCUUUAUUUAGUGCCCUGAGGAAAAAAAUUAAAUAUUUAUUAAAACUAUGUAUUUUUCCUUAAUAACAAAUUCAAUAAACAAGUGAUUUGAUUAAUGUA